rnacentral:rRNA from 1 species
AACAAUGCAAGUCGAACGCGUUGGCCCAACUGAUUGAACGUGCUUGCACGGACUUGACGUUGGUUUACCAGCGAGUGGCGGACGGGUGAGUAACACGUAGGUAACCUGCCCCAAAGCGGGGGAUAACAUUUGGAAACAGAUGCUAAUACCGCAUAACAAUUUGAAUCGCAUGAUUCAAAUUUAAAAGAUGGCUUCGGCUAUCACUUUGGGAUGGACCUGCGGCGCAUUAGCUUGUUGGUAGGGUAACGGCCUACCAAGGCUGUGAUGCGUAGCCGAGUUGAGAGACUGAUCGGCCACAAUGGAACUGAGACACGGUCCAUACUCCUACGGGAGGCAGCAGUAGGGAAUCUUCCACAAUGGGCGCAAGCCUGAUGGAGCAACACCGCGUGAGUGAAGAAGGGUUUCGGCUCGUAAAGCUCUGUUGUUAGAGAAGAACGUGCGUGAGAGCAACUGUUCACGCAGUGACGGUAUCUAACCAGAAAGUCACGGCUAACUACGUGCCAGCAGCCGCGGUAAUACGUAGGUGGCAAGCGUUAUCCGGAUUUAUUGGGCGUAAAGCGAGCGCAGGCGGUUUGAUAAGUCUGAUGUGAAAGCCUUUGGCUUAACCAAAGAAGUGCAUCGGAAACUGUCAGACUUGAGUGCAGAAGAGGACAGUGGAACUCCAUGUGUAGCGGUGGAAUGCGUAGAUAUAUGGAAGAACACCAGUGGCGAAGGCGGCUGUCUGGUCUGCAACUGACGCUGAGGCUCGAAAGCAUGGGUAGCGAACAGGAUUAGAUACCCUGGUAGUCCAUGCCGUAUACGAUGAGUGCUAGGUGUUGGAGGGUUUCCGCUCUUCAGUGCCGCAGCUAACGCAUUAAGCACUCCGCCUGGGGAGUACGACCGCAAGGUUGAAACUCAAAGGA